rnacentral:lncRNA from 1 species
ACCCCACUUUAUCAGGAAAAGCACGAGAACAGAACUUACAUGACACCUGGCUGGGAGCAAAGGCUGCUGGUUUCAAAAUAGUCAACGAUGAAUUGGCGUGGAAUCUUCCGGCUGUAGGAGAAGCAGCAGGCAGUCGGGGUGUCAGCUCCAUCUGUAGGGGAAGAAAGUCAUCAUUGAACAGGCUUUCUCUAAUACCAGAAGUCAGCAAAGAAGACACCAGAGCAUCACCAUAAGACAUCCCAGAGGCAGAGCUCCUUAAGAAUCCCAGGGCUGGCUACUUCUUUUCUCUUGUAGACUCUGAAACCACAGAAAAGACUGCUAUGGUCUGCCUUAGACCAGAGACUGGGGACACCUCCUGUAGCAGUGUAGACUCACAUGGCGCUGAGAAGACUUGGUUGCAGAGUGUCAUGGUACAGAGAAGAACAGCAAGGGCAGUGGUGGAGACCUUCAUGAUGUUGAGCAGGUGACAGAGGGUGAGCUUGUCAGCAGAACAGAAAAGGGACUGGUACUCGCUGCUGCUUGUAUCCUUCUGGUGUCUGAAGCCAUAUGCCCCUUCUCUUAUAGGUAGCCCUAGCAGAUGAGGAAAUGGAAUCCGGGGCUGAGGAGGGAAAAUUUUAAGCACAGCAAUGGUGUCAUGAUGGAUAUUACACAACCCAGGGUCCACAGUGACCACAGGGGCCCAGGAUAUCUAAGAAUAGCAUCUCUGAGAUAUAAGUCUCAGCUCUCAACUCGUGACCUAUUCUUUCUUCUUGUGGGGAAGUAGUUUCUCUUAUGAGCAGGAGGAGGUAGGACAGUGUCAACCCAGGGCUAUUCUUAGCUGGUCCCAUCUCAUGAGAACCGUUCUGUGAAUAAACACUCCAAACCCA